rnacentral:rRNA from 1 species
UACGUAGGGUGCAAGCGUUAAUCGGAAUUACUGGGCAUAAAGCGUGCGCAGGCGGUCUCGCAAGUCCGAUGUGAAAUCCCCGGGCUCAACCUGGGAACUGCGUUGGAAACUGGAGGACUUGAGUACAGACGAGGGUGGCGGAAUGGAUGGUGUAGCGGUGAAAUGCAUAGAUACCAUCCAGAACCCCGAUUGCGAAGCAGCUGCCCUAGACUGAUAAC